AACUGUGUUAGGGAUAAAAACCCCUGCCCUACCUGGCUAGGUGUGCUCUUGUGAUUGUGACUGACACAGGCAGCACCCUUUUGCAGAAGUAGAUGUGCGUUGCUGAGAAAUUUUCUGCCUAAGUUCUGGUUUUCUUUGCAGCACCCAGCAUUUGUUUCUAACACAGGGAAAGAGUGAGCUGUAAAAACCUCUCAAAUUCAAGAAAGCGUAAAGCAAAUUGAACAAUACGGGUGAGGUUAUGGGCACCUGGAGAAUGACGAAUUGAAAGAGAGACAUGUGCUAUGAUUUCAGAGCCUCAAAAAGGAGCACGGACUAUUCUCUCAUGUUGAAUGUGGCACUUUUUACAUACAAGCAGGAGAGCAACUACACCAAGAUUUUGGAAAACAUGUUAUGUAAGUUUUUAUUUUUAAAAUCAGGAGAGAAUUUCUGCAACAUUCUAUGACCACAGAUCCCUACCCAUCUGCGCUGGGGCACUUACAGAUCACCUUCUCUUCUGAACUUUGUAUGAAGUGACCAUGUCCCUCCUAUCCCUUUCCAUGUGCACAAGAUCAUGUCAUCUCUAGCUUAUUCAAAGACAUUGCCUUAGCAAUCUGCCCUUGCCUUCUGUUUCAUCAGUUUCUAAGCAACAACUGGAAAGGCCAAAGCCUUACAGGACCAGUCUGGCCAAGGAUAGCUACAGCAUCUUUCUCAUCUGUCUAGCAGGCAGUUUCUAUUAGAUCAUUCCCACAAGUACAUACAAGCAGACUUACAUUUCUCACCUCACACUUUAUAAUAAACAAACAACUCCCCAGGCACCCACUUCUCCUCUCCAGGUACAGCCCCAUUGUUAUCCUUUCCUCCACAACUAAACUUCUUAAGAGAAAUUUCUGUACUAGCUGUUUCCUAGUUCUUCCUCAUUUUCUCUUGUGACUUCACUCCAGUCAAUCCAAGAUAACCAUUGACCUUUCUGGUGUCAAAUCUAACAUUUAUUUUUUAGGCCAUAUCUUAUUUCAUCUUUCCACAACAUCUGAUACAGUUGAUUCCUCUACUUCACCUUCUUCACUUUGCUUGAAGGACACCACAGAAAUAGAACAUGGCCAGACCCAGAAGUGCCCCUGGGACCCUCUUCCAAUUACUAUCAUUUUCCUUCUCUCCAAGUGAGCCACUUUCUAGCUUUUU